GAACGAGAUGAUGAUGAAUAGGUUUCCCUAUUGGUUUGAUUGCCGAAAUGAUGGCGUCAAUCUUUGUAUUAGCUCUAGCUGAUCCUUC